GCGGGAAUAGCUCAGUUGGUGGAGCACGACCUUGCCAAGGUCGGGGUCGCGAGUUCGAGUCUCGUUUCCCGCUCCA
rnacentral:tRNA from 1 species